UAAACUGGGAUUAGAUACCCCACUAUGCUUAGCCCUAAACCCUAAUAAUUCAAUAACAAAAUUAUUUGCCUGAGAACUACUGGCCACAGCUUAAAACUCAAAGGACUUGGCGGUACUUUAUAUCCAUCUAGAGGAGCCUGUUCUAUAAUCGAUAAACCCCGUUACACCUUACCACUCCUUGCUAAUUCAGCCUAUAUACCGCCAUCUUCAGCAAACCUUAAAAAAGAACAACAGUAAGCAAGAGGAUCACCAUAAAAACGUUAGGUCAAGGUGUAGCCUAUGGAGUGGAAAGCAAUGGGCUACAUUUUCUAAAUAAGAACAUUACGAAACCCUUUAUGAAAUCUAAAGGACAAAGGAGGAUUUAGUAGUAAAUUAAGAAUAGAGUGCUUAAUUGAAUAGCGCAAUGAAGUACGUACACACCGCCCGUCACCCUCCUCAAAUUAAACGAACACAACACAGAUACAUAAUACAAUUAAUAAGUUUAUGAGAGGAGAUAAGUCGUAACAAGGUAAGCAUACUGGAAAGUGA
rnacentral:rRNA from 1 species